CAGGGUAGUCAGUUUUGAUUAAGCAAACAUUAAAUUAAUCCAAUCUGCAAACACUUACUCUCUAAGCACUACUGGGGGAGAGAGGCGGCUGGAUGGACAGAUGGAUGUGUUCUCAUUGGAUUGCGGGCCACCUCCGAGUAGUUACAGCUGGAUCAAUACGGCUCCUAGAGCUAUAAUAGAAUGGCUUCGACAUGCUCAUCUGUGGCUGAGAACACAGUAUACACAUUGAUUUCCUGGCCUGAUAUAACCCAUUUACCUAUUCAGCUACUCCGUUCAGGAAGGUGGAGGGGUCCCCAGGCCCAAGGGAGCAAUGAUGCCUGUAAGUAGGUUAGCAAAUGCUUGGGAAAUGUCUUAAUUGGUGACAUGGUUCCUCCUUUUGGAAGGCACAUUUCUUUGUAAAGAAAAGGCCUCCUUAGAAUCAUAUUGGCUUUGUCUCGGGGAGCAGGAGAAGUUGGGGUGUCACCGUUUCCGCUCAUGAGGAUUUGCCCUUUCCAUCAUUGAAAUCUUUGGUGUUGAACAAUUGUCUUAGUUCAUGGAGCAUAAAGGGCUUCACUUUGAAGUGCAUUCCAGGAAUAUUCCUGAUUUCCACUGGAUGACUUUGACUGGUAUGAUUUCAUUCUCUGAAAGUGUUAACCAGGGUGCAGCAUGGCCAGAAACCAUUCCGAGCCUCAUGAAGUGGGCAAGUCAGGUUUGGUCAUUUUUGUUCUACUGGCUUUGAAGAAGCAAGCUGCUAUGAUGUAAACUGACUAUGGAGAAGGCCACGUGACAGGGAAUUGGGUGUAGACUCUAGGAACUGAGGUCUUAAUCCUACAACUGCAAGGGGAUUAAAGUCUACCAACAACCACCUGGGCUUGGAAGAGGACCGCUGAUCUCCAGAUGAGAACGGAGCCUGACCAACACCUUGAGUGCCACCUUGUGAGACUCUGAGCAAAGACCCAGCUAAGCCACACUUAGACUCUUGACGUACAGAAAAUGUGAGAUAAGGAAUGUGUGUUUUCUGUAGCCAAUGAUAUUUUGAUAAUCUGUUUUGUGGCAAUAGAACGUUGAUACAAUAAGCUUGUCAACUUCUAAAAAAAAUACUGUUGGAAUUUCUAUUGUGAUUGUAUUGAAUAGAUCAUGUUGGGGAAAAUACAAUAUUUUACAAAAUCAAGCUUCCAGUUCAUGAACAUAAAAUAUCGCUCUGUUUAUAUUCUUUUAUAUUUUUCUCAAUGAUAUAUUUUAAUCUUGGAUGUGGAGAUCUUCCACAUUUUUGUUUGGCUUAUUACUAGGCUUUUGAUAUAUAAUUUUAUUUGAUGUUUGUUGUAAUGGUUUUAAUUAUAUUUGUAGAUGGUAUGUAAAAAUACAUAUUUUAAAUAUAUUGCUCUUAUAUCCAGCAACCAUGCUAAACCCACUUAUUGUAUUAAUUUGUACUUUCUUUUUUUUAAAUAUCCACAACUUGUACUUCACUUCCAAAUCCUCUUUUAUUUAUUUUUUUGACUUAAUUCUUAAUUUCAAAAGCAAGCCUUACAAUAGUUUAUCUUUGAGAUCCAGUUUCUCUACCAUACUUUGUUGAAACUUGGGCAGCAAUCUUCAAUACUUUUUUUUGGUGAGUCUAUUAAAAGCACUUCUCAGUCUUCCUAACCGGAAUUGGUAUAUAUCCCCAGGUGAAAAAGGUAACCCCAAAUUCUAGGCCUCCUGGGCCUCCAUUUCUCAUUGAUCAUGGAGUGUUAAUUCUUCUGUAUUUUGUUAGUUCUGUAUUUCCUUAGAGUAUUUUUUUUAUUUUUAAUAUCUUAUCUAGUUUUUCUAGUUAUCAUGGGGAAAUGACAGUUCAAAUAAUCUAUCAUACCCUUAUCAAAAGUGGAAGUGCUACAAUAAUUUUUUAGCCAUUUUAUGGAGGUAUAAUUUACAUAAUUUACAAACCAAAGCAUCCAAUGAUUAUAAGUGUACAAUUCAAUGAGUUUUAGUUUUAUGUAUAAAUGUAUAGAGUCAUGCAACAGUGGCCACAAUCCAGGUUUAGAAUAUUUCCAUCACUCCCAAAGGUUUCUUCAUGACUUGUAGUUGGUUUCCAUUCUCAGCACUCAGUCCCAGGUAACCAUUGAUCUGCUAUCUAUCGGUAUAGGUUGACAUUUUCUAGAAAGUCCAUAUAAAUGGAGUCAUACAAUCUGUGGUCUUUUGUGUCUAGUUUUUUAACUUAGCAUAAUGUGUUGAGUUUCAUCUGUGUAAUUAAUUCCAUGUAAUGAUUUAUAGUUUUCAGUGUACAAGUUUUUAGUUGUAAUUUUGUAGUUUCCAUAUAUAAAUCUUUUGUUUAUUCCUAAGUAUUUGUUUUGAUACUAAUGCGAAUUUUUUUUCCUUAAUUUUGUUUUUUGGAUUGUCUAUUGCUAGUCUAUAGACGUACAAUUGGUUUUUGCAUAUUGAUCUUGUUAUCUGUGACUUUGGUGAAUUCUCUCAGUAGUUCCAGUAGCUUUUUAUGAUCUGUAGAAAUGAAUAGAAAUUUACUUCUUUUUCAAUAUAUAUCUGACCCUUGAACAAUGUGGGAAUCAGGGGCACUGACUUCUCUGCAUAGUUGAAAAUAUGCAUAGAACUUUUGACUGCCCCAAAACUUAACACUAGUACCCUACUGUUGACUGGAAACCUUACCAAUAACAUAAACAGUUGAUUAACACAUAUUUUAUAUAUAUAUAUAAUUUACUGCAUUCUUAUAAGAAAAUAAGCUAGAGAAAAUAAAAUGUUAUUGAGAAAAUCAUAAGAAAGAGAAAAUAUAUUUACUAUUCAUUAAAUGGAAGUAGAUUCAUCAUGAAGGUUUUUAUCCUUGUUGUCUUCACGCUGAGUAGGCAGAAGAGGAGAAGGAAGAGGAGAGGUUGUUCCUCUCAGGGGUGGCAGAUGUGGAAGAAAAUUCAUGUGUAAGUAGACUUAUGCAGUUCAAGCUUGUGUUGUUCAAGGGUCAACUAUGUAUGUCUUUGAUUUUUUUUCUUGCUUUAUUGCAUUGACUUGGUCCUCCGCUGCAAUGGUGAAUGGAAAAGGUACAACCAGGUAUCCUUGCCCUAUUCCUGAUCUUAAGGGGAAAUAAUACAGUCUUUAAAAUCAGUCAUGUUGAUAGCUGUAGGUUUUUCAUAGGUUUCCCCAACUUUAUCAGGUUGGGGAAGUUCCCUUUUAGUCCUGGUUUGCAGAAAGUUAUUAUUUUAAAUGGGUGUGGAUUUUGAAAAUUGAGAAAAUCAUGUGAGCUUUUGGUCCUUUAUUAAUAUUGUGUAUUACAUUAAUUGAUUUUUAGAUGUGAAACUAAACUGUGUUCCUGAGAUAAAUAUCACUUGUAAUGUUAUAUAAUAAUCUUUUUUUAAAAAACUGUAGCCGUGUUCAAUUUUUUAAUAUUUUGUUAAGGAUUUUUUUUUUCUAUCUUCAUGAGAAAUAUUGAUCUUUUGUUUUCCUUUGUUGUGAUGCCUUUUUCUGGCUUUGACAUCAGGAUAAUACCAGCCUUAUAGAACGACUUGGGAAAUGUUUCCCUCUCCUCUGUUUUCUGAAAGAGUUUGUGUAGGCUUAAUAUUAUUUCCUUAAUAUUGAUAGAAUUCAUUAGUGUAGCCAUCUGGGCCUGCGCUGUUUUGUGAGAAGAUUUUUUAACUAUUAAAUAUAUUUCUUUACUUGUAGUUUUAUUCAUGUUUCUAUUUCUUUCUGUGUCAGUUUUGGUGAUUUGUGACUUUCAUUUUAUCUGAGUUGUCUAACUUUGUUGGCCUAAAGUUAAUCAUAGUCUCUCUUUAUGAUCUUUUUAAUUUUUGUAGGUUUGGUAGUGAUAACACCUUCUUCAUUCCUAAUUUUGGUAAUUUUUGUAUUCUUUCUUUUUAGGCUCACCCAUCUAGCUAAAAGUUUAUCAAUUUUGCUAAUCUUUUCGAAAAACUAAAUUUUAAUUUUAUUUUCUCUAUUAUUUUCCUAUUUUCAUUUUCAUUGAUUUCUGUUCUAAUAUCUCUUUUUUCUUCUACUUGAUUUGUGUUUAAUUUGCUUGUGUUUUCUAGUUUUUUUUUUUUAAGGUGGAAGCUUAGAGUCUUGAGAUUUUUGUUCUUUUCUAAUGUGAGCUUUUAAUGUUAUAAAUUUACCACAAGGUGCACUUUUUAAUAACUUUAUUGAAACAUAAUUGUCAUAUAAUAAGCUGCACAUAUUUAAAAUGUACAAACUAAUAUUUAAUACAUUUUGACAUACGUACAUGUGCAAGAAUUUACACUGAAAAUAAUAUACACAUCUGUCUUCUCCAAAGGUUUCCUUGUGCCCUAUGUAAUCAUCUGCAAUCCCGCAACCCUUCCCUGAUGCACUAAUAAUUCUUAUGUUUUGUUGUCAUUCUCAUUCUGUUCAAAAUAUUUUCUAAUUACUUUUGUAAUUUCCUUUUUUCAGCCACUGGUUGUUUAGAAGUAUGUUUUUAAAUUUCCAAAUUUUCAAAAUUCUUUAUGUUUUUAAUUUCUAAUUUAAUUUCAUUGGAGGCAGAGAAUAUAAUUUAAAGGAUUCAGAUCAUUUUAAAUUCAUCAAGACUUUUUCAUGGCCUAGACAUUAUUCAUUCUGGAGAAUGCUCUUUAUACACUUGAGAGGACUAUAUUCUUCUGUUGGAGUGUUCUAUACAUGUCAGUUAGGUCAGUAGGGUUGAUAGUGGUUUAUAUAUUUAUAUACUUACUAAUAUCUUUAUAUGUGUAAAAUUUAUGUAUUUAUAUUUUUACUAAUUUUAUCUAUUGUUUACAGUGGCUUAUUGAAAUCUUCAACUAUAAUAAUUGACUUAUCUAUUUCUCUUUUAAUUCUGCCAGAUUUUGCUUAUUGAAUUUUGAAGUCUAUUAUUAGAUUCAUAAUACACAUAUUAUUAUACAUAUUAUUAGAUUCAUAAUGCACAUUGACAACACUCAUUCCAUCUUGAUGUAUUAAGGCUUUAUUAAUAUGAAAUAUUUCUUUUUAUCUCUAGAAAAAUUUCUGGUCUCAAAACCAACUUUGCUUGAUAUUAAUGUAGCCACUCUAGUUAUCUUAUUGUUAAUGCCUGUAUGUUAUAUCUAUUUUUGUCUUUUCACUUUGAUUUAUUUGUCUUUGAGUCUACAACGUGUCUCUUAUUGAUAAAAUAUAAUUGGAUUUUGCUUUUUUAUCCUUCAGAUAAUCUUUGCCUUUUGUUUAGAGAGGUUAGUUCUUCAGUACUUAAUAUAAUUAUUGAUAUAGUUACAUCUGCCAUUUUGCUAUUUGUUUUCAAUAUGUCUCACUUUUUUUUAAUUCCUGUCCCUCCUUUUUUUUGCCCUUUUCUGUGUUAAACAAAAAUUUUUCAUGUACCAUUUUAAUUCCUCUGUUUUUCUAAUGAUGUAUUUUUAAACUUUUUUCAAAUACUUUUUGCUUUGUAGGUUUAAAAUAUAUCUGUUGAGGUAUCACAAUUUUCUUCAGGUUAGUACUGACCUAAUUCUAGCAAAAUAGGCCACUUUGCUAUAGUAUAGUUCCAUUUCUUCUCUCUGUUUUGUGGCGUUAUUGUCGUAUAUAUUUUAGCUAUAUGUGUUAGAAGCUAAAAAAUACAGUGUUCUAAUUCCUUUUUGAAAUCUUAUAUUUCUGAAAAAAAUUAAGAGUAGAAAAAAGCAGAAUAUAUAUUUAAUCAUUCUUUUAUAGUUAAUGAUAUAUUUACCAUUUUUAAACUUUUCAUUUCUUCCUGUUGAUUCAAGUUACUAUCUGGUGACAUUUCCUUUCAACCUGAAAAAUGUCCUACAGCAUUUCUUGCAAGAUUGGUUGGCUACUAACAAACUUUCUCAAUGUUUACCUAGGAGCAUCUUUCCCUUCAUUUUUGAAUAAUUUUUUUUGAUACAGAAUUCUUGGUUAACAGUUUUAUACCCACCACAGCCCCAGCACAUUGAAAAUGUUAUUUUACUGCCUUAUGGACUCCAUUGUUUCUGAUGCAGAGUCUGCUGUUAAUUAUUGUUGUUACUCCCCUCUACACAAUAAGUUGUUUUACUCUUGCUACUUGCAAGAUUUUCUGAUUGUUUUUGUUAGCUCUCAGCAGGCUGAUUAUACUGUAUUUAUCCUACAUUUGGUUUGAGCUUCUUGGUUCUGUAAAUUGUUUUCAUCCAGUUUGGGAAGUUUUUGGCUACUAUUCCUUUGAAUAUUCAAUUUAUAUACCUUUCUCUCUCUUCUCAAGUUCUAGAACUCCCACUUUACAUGUGUUGUCAUUCUUGAUGUUGUCUCACUUGAUGUCUCUGUUUUUUUUUAAUCUUUUCUCCAUUUUUCAGGUUAGAUAAGUUUUAUUUAUGAUUUUUCAGUUUACUGAUUCUUUAUUCUGCCGUCUUAAAUCUGAUGUUGAACUCUUCUAGUGAAUUUUCAUUUCGUCAUUGUAUUUUUCAUCUAUAAUUUUUAUUUAGUUUAUUUUUAUAGUUUAUAUUUCUCUAUUUUGGUUCUUGGUAUGAGUCAUUGUUAUUAUAUUUUCCUUUCAUUAUUUUUUAGAUUUUUAAAAUUGAGGUGAAAUUCACUAUUUUAAAGUGUGCAUAAAAUUAACUAUUUAAAAGUGUACAAUGCAGUGGCAUUUAGGACAUCAACAACAUUUUUCUAAAACAUGUUCAUUACUCCAUAAAGAAACCUUAUACCCAUUAAGCAGUUACACCCUAUUUCUCCCUUCAUUCGGCCCCUGGUAACCACCAAUUUGUGUUCUGUACGUCUGGAUUUACCUUUUCUGGAUAUUUCAUAUAAAUGAUGUCCUAUGAUAUGUACGUUUUAUGUCUGGCUUCUUUCACUGAGCAUAAUGCUUUUGAGGUUUAUCUACAUGGUAGCGUAUAUCAAUGCUUCAUUUAUUUGCAUGGCUGGAUAAUAUUUCAUUGUAUGUCUAUACCAUGAUAUCUUUAUUCAUUCAUUUGUUGAUAAACAUUUCGCUGUUUCCACCUAUUUGCUAUUGUGAAUAGUGCUACUAUAACUAUGCAUAUAAAUGUAUUUGUUUGAGUACCUAUUUUUAAGUCUUUGGGGAAUAUAUGUACAAGUGGAAUUGCUAAGUCAUAUGAUAACUUCAUGUUUAGCUUUUGAGGAAGUGACCAACUGUUUUCCACAGUGUCUGCAUCAUAUUACAUUGCACCAAUAAUGUGGAAUAGUUUUGAUUUCUCUACAUCCUCACCAUGUUAUUUUCUGUAUGAAAUAUAAAGUUUUACCUCAUUUGUGGUUUUGAUUUCCAUUUCCCUAGUGACUAAUACUGUUGAGUGUUUUUUAUGUACUUCUUAGCCAUUUGCAUAUGUUUUUGGAGAAAGGCCUAUUCAAGUACUUUGCUCAAUUUUUAAUUGGGCAUUUAUGUUUUUCUUGUUGAGUUAUAAGAAUUCUUUAUGUAUUCUGAAUGCCUGAUUCUUAGUAGAUGUGUGCUUUGCAAAUAUUUUCUCCCAUUCUGUAGGUCAUCUUUUUGUCUUUAUCGAUAACCUCCUUGAUACAAAGUUUUUAAUUUUCAUAAAGUCUAAUUUAUCUAUUUUGCUUUCAUUGCUCAUGUUUUUGGUGUCCUAUCUAAGAAUCCAUUGCCAAAUCCAAGAUUAUGAUUAACUUCUAGGUUUUCUUCUAAGAGUUUUAGGGUUUUAUCUCUUACAUUUAGGUUGCUCAUCCAUUUUGAGUUCAGUUUUUGAUAGAAUGUGAAGCAGUGAUUUUUCUUUAAUUAUUUAAACAUAGUGUUCUUAAUUCUUUGAAUGUAUUUCUGGAUUCAGAGUCCAGAGUGCUCACCAUUACACCAUGGAAACAUGAAUGUAUUUCUAAUAGCUGCUUUGAACUCUCUGUCUACUAAAUCCAAAUCCAACAUCUGGGCCCACUCAACAUCAGUUUAUAUAGGUUCUCUUUUUUUCUCCCUGAGUAUAAUUUAUACUUUACCACUUCUUACAAUUUUUUGUUGAAAACUGGACAUUUAAAAUAAUAUUUUAUGCAAACUCUGGAUUGUAAAAUUUCCC
rnacentral:lncRNA from 10 species